rnacentral:rRNA from 1 species
UACGAAGGGGGCUAGCGUUGUUCGGAAUUACUGGGCGUAAAGCGCGCGCAGGCGGUUCUUUAGUCAGGGGUGAAAGCCCAGAGCUCAACUCUGGAAUUGCCUUUGAAACUAGAGAACUUGGGUACGGGAGAGGUGAGUGGAAUUCCGAGUGUAGAGGUGAAAUUCGUAGAUAUUCGGAAGAACACCAGUGGCGAAGGCGGCUCACUGGCCCGUUACCGACGCUCAGGCGCGACAGCGUGGGGAGCAAACAGG